rnacentral:rRNA from 1 species
UGAGUACGAGAUGCUACGGCAUCGAAGCAGUCAAUGUCAUACUUCCAAGAAAAGCUUGCAAUGUCAUAAACAAAUAAUGCCUGUACCAUAACCGACACAGGUGGGUAGGUAGAGUAUACUAAGGGGCGCGAGAUAACUCUCUCUAAGGAACUCGGCAAAAUGACUCCGUAACUUCGGGAGAAGGAGUGCCUUAUUUUUAUAAGGUUGCAAUAACAAGAUCCAAGCAACUGUUUACCAAAAACACAGGUCUCCGCUAAGUCGUAAGACGAUGUAUGGGGGCUGACGCCUGCCCAGUGCCAGAAGGUUAAAGAAGUUGGUUAGCAUUAGCGAAGCUGAUAACUGAAGCCCUGGUGAACGGCGGCCGUAACAAUAACGGUCCUAAGGUAGCGAAAUUCCUUGUCGGGUAAGUUCCGACCCGCACGAAAGGCGUAAUGAUUUGGAUACUGUCUCGGAGAGGGGCUCGGUGAAAUAGACUUGUCUGUGAAGAUGCGGACUACCUGCACCUGGACAGAAAGACCCUAUGAAGCUGUACUGUAACUUGAGAUUGAAAUUGGACUUUAUCUGCGCAGUAUAGGUGGUAGACGUUGAAAAUAUUCUUGCGGGAAUAUUGGAGUCAUCAGUGAGAUACCACUCUUAUAAUGUUAGAUUUCUAACUUUGUAUCAUUAUCUGGUCAAAGAACAGUUUCAGGCGGGCAGUUUGACUGGGGCGGUCGCCUCCCAAACGGUAACGGAGGCGCACAAAGGUUUCCUCUGAACGUGUAGAAAUCGUAUCUAGAGUGUAAAGGCAUAAGGAAGCUUGACUGUGAGACCUACAAGUCGAGCAGGGACGAAAGUCGGUCUUAGUGAUCUGACGGUGCUGAGUGGAAAGGCCGUCACUCAACGGAUAAAAGUUACUCUAGGGAUAACAGGCUGAUCUCCCCCAAGAGUUCACAUCGACGGGGAGGUUUGGCACCUCGAUGUCGGCUCAUCGCAUCCUGGGGCGGUAGUACGUCCCAAGGGUUGGGCUGUUCGCCCAUGAAAGCGGUACGCGAGCUGGGCUCAGAAUGUCGUGAGACAGUUCGGUCCAUAUCCGGUGUAGGCGUUAGAAUAUUGAGAGGAGCCUUCUUUAGUACGAGAGGACCGAGAAGGACAUACCUCUGGUGUACCAGUUAUCGUGCCAACGGUAAACGCUGGGUAGCCAUGUAUGGAGAGGAUAACCGCUGAAAGCAUCUAAGUGGGAAGCCCACCUCAAGAUAAG